rnacentral:rRNA from 1 species
UACGAAGGGGGCUAGCGUUGCUCGGAAUUACUGGGCGUAAAGGGCGCGUAGGCGGAUAUUUAAGUUGGGGGUGAAAUCCCGGGGCUCAACCUCGGAAUUGCCUUCAAAACUGGAUAUCUUGAGUUCGGGAGAGGUUAGUGGAACUCCGAGUGUAGAGGUGAAAUUCGUAGAUAUUCGGAAGAACACCAGUGGCGAAGGCGACUCACUGGCCCGAUACUGACGCUGAGGCGCGAAAGCAUGGGGAGCAAACAGG